rnacentral:misc_RNA from 1 species
GAAAGAAAUCUCUAAAUCAGAUAUGAAUCAAAUCCAUAAAUGUAGCCAUCUGAACGAAAACUAACUUGUAUUUUCAUAAAUGUUAGUAAAAUGUUCUAAUGUAUAGAUCUAUCCUUUUUCUGUGAUCAGUUAAAUGCAGCAGAAAUCAUUUUUUUGUAUCUAUGUAAUGAGUGGGCACCUUGCAAAUAUUUGUGCACAACUCCUGCCCAGGAUCUCUGCCCUGUUAUGAAUCUUGUAAAGAAUAAGCCUAAUAAGUGAGAAAAUUAAGCCAAGCUACUCUUGAGUGAGAAAAAAAAAAUGAAGGGACUGAAUAAAGCAGCCCUGAAUGAGAAAGAAUCAUGGAACCUAAUCUCAUCUUUUAUUGUCUACUUGUUCUGUUAAUCUCCUCCUUCAAUGUUGUGAAUGCAGCUCUCCAUUCAGCACUUUGUGCGUCGCUGCAGAAUAUCCUAUGCAUUAUUUGUAAUUCUUCAGCACUUGCCUUCUUGAAUAAUCCUUGCAGCACAUGCUGCACCUCUUCUUCACUUGAAUGAUGACCUCCUAUAGCUGGAUUGUCUAUGAGAUUGCAACUCAGUCCAAAUGGGGACUUCUUGAAAUCACUUGUAGUGCUCAAAUUCGAAAGCCUAUUAUUCCAGUACCCUCUACACUGAUGAUUGGGAUCAAGAGCCUCAAUAGCCUGAACAAUUGGUGAAGAAAGAAACCCAAACAUUUCAAGCCCAUUAACACUCAGCAAAGGCUGCAGUCCUCUUUCUCCUAUGCUGUUUUGUUGUAUAAUUUCCUCAUUCAGUCGUUGCAGCACCAUUUCCCAGCACUUUUCUGCUGAAACAUUUGUAAAUGUUUCACUUGGGCAUUCUUCUAAAGAUACCUUAAAAAGAGGGCCAAGGAGUCCAGCAUCCACUAUUUCUGAAAUAUAGCUACAAAGUUUUCUUGGAUCAAGCACACUGAAGAACUUAACUCUGCUUUUAAAACCUUUCGGGAAUAUGGCAUGCCUACUGCACCAAAGCUUUCCAAACAUGACACAUCCAAAAUUUAGAGGUUCAACAAAAAAAACCCAAAUUAUUCACUGGAUUGUUUUGAUAAGCCAUAGAUGGUCCAACAUCUGAGAUGUUGACUAUUUUGGUUUUAAAGUUCUCUGAUGGCACCAUUGCAUCUGAAUGCGGAACUGAAAGAUCAACCCCAAACAACUUCUUGCUAAAUGCACAAGUAUCCCUAAGAAGCAUUUUAUCUGAAUUAUUAUCUUUAUUUGAAAAUUCAUGCAAUUCUGAUGAAUUACAAUCACUGCCAAGUCGUGAUACAACUGACUCUUUUGCUGCAUCAGAAUUGCUAGCUUUCUCUUGCUUACCAACUGACAUAUUUGUUUCCAUAUCUGAGACAACUUUUUUGUAGGAGCUAUCAGAUGAAUAGAGAAAAUCACUUCCAUGAUCAACAGACAUAAAAUCAAGAUUUAAAUCAAUGCACCUCUCUUGCUUCACCUUAGAAGCAUUCUUCAGGAUCAAUGCUUCAUUGUUAAAGACAUUGUCAUGGCUAUCAGAUUGGAUUACUUCUGAAGAAACUUGACUAUUUGAACAGCAAGAGAUAUUGGUGCCCAAUGUUUCUUCUGCUUUUGGGGAACAAGAUGGACUUUCCUUCUGCUCAGAAUAGCUGGUUUGGAAUGACUCUCUCUUCUGAUCCAGCUUACAUACAUGAGCACCAUUGUCACCAUCAGAAUCCAAUUUAGGCUCCUUAGAUGCCCACACUUUUACAGCAUCUAAUCUUCCCUCCAAUGCUUCAACUACUGUUUUUAAUUCAUCCAUAGUGUAACGGAGAAGAACAUAUUUGUCAUUUGUUUCACAAGAACAAAAACGGUUUGCAUGUGUAAGACAUGCAAAUUGUUCAGGGGAGCACUUGCAGCUGGCAGCAGACAAAUACAAGUCAUAGAAGCAAGUGAAACAUUCUCUCUCACUACACAAAUCAAACUCCUUUUCCAUCUUUUGCAAUUUUAGAUGAGUUGGAAGAUUCCGUAGUCUUUCCUCCUCCAUCUGUACCCUUGUCUUAACUGCUUGGGUAAGCAGCCCAUCCUUCCCACAGACACUUCUCCACCUCAAAUUUUCAGGAGUUUCUUUUCCAAGAACUAGUAGCUCCCAAAGGGCCUGGACCGCUUUCUGAGCUGAUCCAAGUAACAGCUUGUCAUGGGAUAUAGAAGUCUUACGAUGCUGCUUACUGUAGAGCUCAACUGCAUGUUGCCCAUGUGCUAACCAAUCAACAGGGGCUACAUUCACUGCUUCUGCACAGUUGAAGCCACAAUUAAAACCAGAGUGGUAUGCCCUAGGAAAGGUAAGAACAAACUCCCCAGAGUGCUGGACAACUUGGUACACUGGUACACCCUCAGCUUUUAAAACUGAAGGAGAUAGUUGAGUUACCAGUUCAUGAAGCAAAUCAGGCUGUUCUUCAAACAAAUCAGGUAAAUGCUUUCUCAUUGCAUUCUCCAAAUUGGAAGCAUGGCUUCCAGGUACUCCAUACCAUAUCUUUGGAUCACCCCAGUGCAAAUAGUUUAGUGAAUAAAGGUGGUGAUCCUCAACAUGCCAACAAAAUGAUGAGAAGCACAUUCCAACAUACAGCCAUGGCACCAGAACUCCUGAGAUAUCACUUGCUUCAAAACAUAGCACAGAACCUUGCAAGCGUGGGAAGUUGUUUAGAUUCCAACCAGAAUUGACAUACUGAUCAGAUUCUGAAUCACCUUCAAUUACCAUGGAAGAAGCCUUAGGAAAGCCACUUCCAAAUCUUCCUGUUUCCAGAUCAGCUCCAUAGUAUACCUCAACCUCAUCUGUUGGUUGUUCAAUAAUCCGCCAGUAUUCACCCUCUAUCUCCUCCACAGAAGGUUCUAAUUUCUGGUGUUCAAUCCCACCAGGCUUAACAUCCUCCACAGAAUCCGUCAUUUGAAAAUAACACUUUUUGAAAUGAUCAGCAUAUUUCUGAAAUUCUUCAAGUGUGAAGUCAGAUCCUGAUUGGAACCCAAAUUUUUCAUCAGUCUCAGAAGCAGCUUUUGCUUCUGAACAAGAAUUAGCACACCUCCUAGUCAUGCUCAUUUUUGAAUGCCUCCUCCUUUUUCGUUUCCGGCUUCGGAAUUUCUUUCUCAUGGGCUCCCUGUUUUGAAGCAAGUCAACUUGCUGAAUUCGUGUAGAAAAUUUAGCACUUUCCCAUAUAUCUUUCUCCUUAAGGCGGCAAGGUGGCCUCCAUGAAGCUGGAGGGACAAUUCGGCAUAUACCAAAUGACUCUGCUUUUGCACGUAUCUUUGAUAUGUAACCAAGUGUAUCCCCAAAUUCCUCAAUAGUUGGAUAAAAUACUGGUGCUUCAUCAAUAAUAGGUCUGCAAGCUUCAACUGGAUCCCAUCUGGCUGUUACCUUCCGAUUUCUUGGACUCCCUGAGCCCUCAAUAGUGCUAUCAUUUUUUGAGGAAUGCUUGAAAGAACUAUCCUCAUUGAUAUGGGAUUGUGAAGCUGAAGCCGAUUUGAACUCUUCCAUUGUCUGUUGAUGAUAAUAAAGAUAGAAAAGAAAUUUUGAUAGCCUGCAAAAACACAACAAACCCUGACCUAACCAGAUGUAGAAAACUAGAUUCCCAGAAGCAAAAAGAAACAAAAAUAAAAAAGUAUUCCCUGAAACCUAGCCCCUCAAAAAAAUCCAAUCUUUAGCUUAAAUAGAAAAAAGGGGGAAAAAAUCAAUUCUCCAUCUUCCUCCUCCAGAAAGGAUUUGUUUUCCUAUAUUCUCAUGAAUCAUAUCACAUAUACAUAAAAUGAGGGAAAAAAAUUUAUUCUACAUAUCAAUCAAUCAAACCCUAAAUUCCUUCCUUCAACUUCCAUAACUUUAUUCCAUGAGUCAUAAAGAUCA